rnacentral:lncRNA from 1 species
GUAUGAUCUACAAAUCGUUGUUAGGCUUCCUCAACAUAGUUGUAAGCAUCUUCAGGGAAAUCUCCAGAUUGUAAAUUUUAUUCUUCCAUCCAGCACAGCAUUAAGUACAGGAUGCCUAACAGAUACACAUUCAAUUGAUAAAGGUUGUGUAUUCUUCAGGUUUCUCAUCACUGAGACACAGUGCUGGACACCUACAACUUACAGGAGGAUUUGGCUCACAGUUUCAGGGGAUUCAUUCCAUGGUCAGCUGGCUCCACAGCAGAAGCAUCAUGCAGAAGGGCGUGCUGGUGCAAAGAAGCUGAGUUCUUGGUGGCUGGGAAGCAGAGCAGGGGAACAGCACCACAGAACAAUGGCCCAAGGUAAUAGCUCAUUUCCAGGCCGAGGACCUGAAUUUUGUUUACUUCUCCUGGCUGUGCAAAAAGCACAUUCAAGUGAAUGACACAAACAAUGCAACCGCAGUGCAUGUUGUAGACUCGGGCAGCUGCAGGCGGUCGGCACCAGCCCGGGAUUGAGGUGGAGUCACUGCUGUGGAGCCGCAUUGCAGCCCCGCCCACCAUCGCUGUCCACCCCUAGACCAUUCCUGACCAAGCAGCAUGCACCGCGCGGGCAGUUCCAUCCUCAAGUUUUUAAAACCAAGGGGAACUUGUAUACUGGGCCUGUUUUUCAGCCUGUUUGCUACCUUUUUUUGCACUCUAUCCCGUGUGAAUUUUACAGACACUGGGCUCCAAAGAGUAUUUGGACACCUGGACACACAUUCCUAGAAUGUCACCAUAUGGUCCUAACUCCAUGUCACCAAAUGACACAGACAAGAUCCUGUUUACAACGACUCUUUUCUUUUUUUUUUAAUUUCUGAUCUUUCUGAGGAGAUGAUUAUCUAUGGCAUAUCUAUAGCUAUAUGUAUGGCCAUAGAUGUAUUUCUGUGUGUACAUAUGUAUAGCCGUGUAUUCCUACAUAUGUACAUACAAAUACAGAGAUAUAUAAAGUACAUAGAAACUCCUGACUUGUAAAUAGCCAAAAGGUACUGACAUGAAUAUGAAUUUUCACACUUAAUCAUCAACAUGAAGCCAUGUUUAAUGCUUGUAUAAUGUGAUGCAAUAAAAUUUAAAAUAAAUUUAUGCACAUGAAAUAUUUUCA